rnacentral:tRNA from 1 species
GUCGCCAUAGCUCAGUUGGUUAGAGCGUGGGUUUGAUUAACACCGCGGGGGCGGAGCAACUAACCCACCCAAGGUCGCAGGUUCGAUCCCUGCUGGCGGCA